rnacentral:rRNA from 1 species
GAUGAACGCCGGCGGUGUGCCUAAUACAUGCAAGUCGAACGCGUUGGCCCAACUGAUUGAACGUGCUUGCACGGACUUGACGUUGGUUUACCAGCGAGUGGCGGACGGGUGAGUAACACGUAGGUAACCUGCCCCAAAGCGGGGGAUAACAUUUGGAAACAGAUGCUAAUACCGCAUAACAAUUUGAAUCGCAUGAUUCAAAUUUAAAAGAUGGCUUCGGCUAUCACUUUGGGAUGGACCUGCGGCGCAUUAGCUUGUUGGUAGGGUAACGGCCGACCAAGGCUGUGAUGCGUAGCCGGGUUGAGAGACUGAUCGGCCACAAUGGAACUGAGACACGGUCCAUACUCCUACGGGAGGCAGCAGUAGGGAAUCUUCCACAAUGGGCGCAAGCCUGAUGGAGCAACACCGCGUGAGUGAAGAAGGGUUUCGGCUCGUAAAGCUCUGUUGUUAGAGAAGAACGUGCGUGAGAGCAACUGUUCACGCAGUGACGGUAUCUAACCAGAAAGUCACGGCUAACUACGUGCCAGCAGCCGCAGUAACAC